AUACGUAGGUGGCGAGCGUUGUCCGGAAUUACUGGGUGUAAAGGGCGUGUAGGCGGGGAUGCAAGUCAGAUGUGAAAUACUAAGGCUUAACCUUGGGGCUGCAUCUGAAACUGUGUUUCUUGAGUGUCGGAGAGGAAAGCGGAAUUCCCAGCGUAGCGGUGAAAUGCGUAGAGAUUGGGAGGAACACCAGUGGCGAAGGCGGCUUUCUGGACGACAACUGACGCUGAGGCGCGAAAGCGUGGGGAGCAAACAGGAUUAGAUACCCUGGUAGUCCACGCCGUAAACGAUGGAUACUAGGUGUAGGAGGUAUCGACCCCUUCUGUGCCGGAGUUAACGCAAUAAGUGUCCCGCCUGGGGAGUACGGUCGCAAGACUGAA
rnacentral:rRNA from 1 species